rnacentral:rRNA from 1 species
UGGCGCACGGGUGAGUAAGGUAUAGUUAAUCUGCCCUACACAAGAGGACAACAGUUGGAAACGACUGCUAAUACUCUAUACUCCUGCUUAACACAAGUUGAGUAGGGAAAGUUUUUCGGUGUAGGAUGAGACUAUAUAGUAUCAGCUAGUUGGUAAGGUAAUGGCUUACCAAGGCUAUGACGCUUAACUGGUCUGAGAGGAUGAUCAGUCACACUGGAACUGAGACACGGUCCAGACUCCUACGGGAGGCAGCAGUAGGGAAUAUUGCGCAAUGGGGGAAACCCUGACGCAGCAACGCCGCGUGGAGGAUGACACUUUUCGGAGCGUAAACUCCUUUUCUUAGGGAAGAAUUCUGACGGUACCUAAGGAAUAAGCACCGGCUAACUCCGUGCCAGCAGCCGCGGUAAUACGGAGGGUGCAAGCGUUACUCGGAAUCACUGGGCGUAAAGGGCGCGUAGGCGGAUUAUCAAGUCUCUUGUGAAAUCUAAUGGCUUAACCAUUAAACUGCUUGGGAAACUGAUAGUCUAGAGUGAGGGAGAGGCAGAUGGAAUUGGUGGUGUAGGGGUAAAAUCCGUAGAUAUCACCAAGAAUACCCAUUGCGAAGGCGAUCUGCUGGAACUCAACUGACGCUAAGGCGCGAAAGCGUGGGGAGCAAACAGGAUUAGAUACCCUGGUAGUCCACGCCCUAAACGAUGUACACUAGUUGUUGGGGUGCUAGUCAUCUCAGUAAUGCAGCUAACGCAUUAAGUGUACCGCCUGGGGAGUACGGUCGCAAGAUUAAAACUCAAAGGAAUAGACGGGGACCCGCACAAGCGGUGGAGCAUGUGGUUUAAUUCGAAGAUACGCGAAGAACCUUACCUGGGCUUGAUAUCCUAAGAACCUUUUAGAGAUAAGAGGGUGCUAGCUUGCUAGAACUUAGAGACAGGUGCUGCACGGCUGUCGUCAGCUCGUGUCGUGAGAUGUUGGGUUAAGUCCCGCAACGAGCGCAACCCACGUAUUUAGUUGCUAACGGUUCGGCCGAGCACUCUAAAUAGACUGCCUUCGUAAGGAGGAGGAAGGUGUGGACGACGUCAAGUCAUCAUGGCCCUUAUGCCCAGGGCGACACACGUGCUACAAUGGCAUAUACAAUGAGACGCAAUACCGCGAGGUGGAGCAAAUCUAUAAAAUAUGUCCCAGUUCGGAUUGUUCUCUGCAACUCGAGAGCAUGAAGCCGGAAUCGCUAG